AAAAAUACAAACCCUGGGUUUCCGUGUCCAACAUUUGACCGUCCGUCUUAUUUGAAGAAAUUAUGAAAAAAAAUAAAAAGAAAAGUCACGCAUAAAGUAUUAAUCAUGUUUUAUCAUCUAACAAUAAUAAAAAUACUGAUUAUAAAAAAACGUCAUAUAAGACAGACAGUCAAAUAUUGGACACGAAAACCUAGGGUUUUUCUUUUU
rfam:Oryza glumipatula chromosome 10, whole genome shotgun sequence.